rnacentral:piRNA from 1 species
CUCAAUAUGGUGACCUCCCGGGAGC